GGGGUGACCCACCAUUCUGAUUUGCCUGGGACUGAGGGCUUUCUAGGACACUGGAAUUGCAGUGGUAAAACUG
rnacentral:miRNA from 1 species